GAAGACAGAUCAAAAUGGCAAGAUAGUCAGACACAAAGCCAGAUUGGUAGCCAGAGGUUUUGCACAGGUACCAGGUGAAGACUAUCACGAGACCUGUUCACCCACAGUGAGAUAUGAAAGCAUUAGGCUUAUGCUUAAGCUAGCUGCAGAGGAAAAUCUACACAUUAGUCACCAUGAUAUUAAUACAGCUUUUCUGUACGGAUCUCUAGAUGAAUCACUUUAUAUGCUUCCACCUGAUGGCGUACAGAUAAAACAGGGAUUUGUUUGUGCUCUGAAGAAAUCCCUUUAUGGUCUCAAACAAAGUGCACGGUGUUGGCACACAAAACUCACUGAAGUAUUGUUUUCUCUAGGUUUUCAGCAAGGGAAAGCUGAUCCAUGUGUAUUUGUCAAGAGGAGGGGCAAAAGAAACUGUACUGUUUGUUUUAUGUUGAUGAUUUAUUAUUCUUUUGGAAAGAUGUCGCAAUGUACAAUAGCGCCCUAGCUCAACUGAAAGAGCACUUUGACAUGAAAGAUCUUGGUGAGGUAAACAACUACCUAUCUCUGGAAAUAGAGAGAGAUCAAGAUGGUAACAUUCUAGUACACCAGUCACGGAAAAUUGCUGAUGUGUUAAGCAAACUAAAUCUGAUGGAUGCUAACCCUGUAGACACACCGAUGACAACAGGUUAUCAGGUAGAUGACACUGAAAAAGCAUUUUCUGACACUUACACUGUACAGGAGUGUGCUAGGCAAGCUAAACUUCAUUGCCAGAUGUUCAAGACCAGACAUUGCUGUUAGCUGUAAUUUGCUAAGCAGACAAGUCAACAAUCCUAGUGUCAAGGAUUGGAAAGCUCUGAAACGCAUAGCGCGGUAUUUGAAAGGCACUAUGCAUUACAGACUGAGAUUUAACAAUCAGAAGUCUGGUGGUCUUGAGAUAUUUGCAGAUGCAAGUUUUGGAAGUGACGCUACAGACAGGAAAAGUACGUCUGGAGUUUGCUACAUGUACAAUCAGAGUCUGUUUGAUUGGUCAUGCAAGAAGCAAACAACAGUUAGCUUAAGUACUUGUGAAGCUGAACUGAAUGCACUGUCUUAUUCACUUAAGGAUUGUGAAUGGUUAGUACAAUUGUGCAAAGAUAUGAAAAUUCCUGUCAAAUGUCCAAUCCAGGUUUACCAGGACAACAAAGCAUGUUUGGCUUUGCUGAAGUCUGAAGGUUGUAAGCAAAGCACAAAGCACUUGCAAUUAAAGUUGCAGCAUGCUAGGGAAUGUAUUCAGAAGGGACUCGUAACGGUGUCCUAUAUGCCAGGUAAUGAAAUUCCUGCUGAUGUAUUGUCCAAGAUUGUAUCAAGGGAUCAACACUGUACCUAUGUGCAGAAGUUGGGUUUGUACUGAUAUUGUACGAAACACGCUGCCCAGUGAUGUUCACAGAAAGGGGAGGAUGUUGGUUUCUGCUUUCCUUCACUGUGCAGCUUUGCUUGUCAUGAGACAGGUAUUUACAUUCCACAGUCUGUACUGUUGGAGUUUCUCACGGGAAAGGGAGACUGGAUGUGACGUACACUGGUUUCCUGUUUUUCACUGUGUGAUUCUCUCCAGGCUGUCGAGGAGAGAGGAUGCAUUUUCUGCUCUUGCAGAGGCAAGAUGUCUUUCUGUAAUAUACCAGCUUUGAACUGUAAAUAAAGCAAUAUAGAGUAUGUAGCACGUAUCGUCAUCCUUCCGCUGGGCACGACAGACUCUGCUUUAAAUCAACACUUCUGGC
rnacentral:lncRNA from 1 species